UAGCUGCUUCCAGUAGACCAAACCAAGCCAGUAGUGAGGGGCAGUUUGUUGUCCUUAGCAGUAGCCAGUCAGAAGAGAGUGAUUUGGGAGAAGGAGGAAAGAAGAGAGAAUCAGAAGCAUAAGCUUAUACUUUUGGUAGAUAUUCCCCCUUGGAAUUUGACAGUUUCUAUGGUGAAAUGGCAGAAGAGAUGGGGUCUUGCUCCGGUCACCUAGGCUGGAGUGCAGUGGCGUGAUCACAGCUCACUGCAGCCUUGACCUCCCAAGGUGAAGCAAUCCUCCUGCCUCAGCCUCCCAAGCAGAGCUACUUUUUAAAGGACUUAGACUGCAUUGAGAUUUUAGUUGAUCCCCUGUUUUUGGAGCACAGCUUUCAACUUUGAACAGAUCCGAACUUGAUCAACAUAAUCAAGCAUCACUCGAACAACCUUUCCAGAGAGAUGUUGCAGCCAUGACAAAGUUAUUACUUCACAGAACUGAGGGAAACAAAAUCAGAAUUAGGAAAGUAAAUGAAAAACACAAAGUAUCUAUGGUUUAGCAUAGUAGUCAAAGGAGAUGUGGUGUGAUGAAAGCCAAGAGAGAAAAAUGUCUCAAAAAUGGGAAGGGAUGGUAGUGGUCAACUGUACUUAUCCUGAUUCUUUUUUUCAUCAGAAAUAAGAUCAAAAUAAAUCAUUUAAUCAGUU